rnacentral:tRNA from 1 species
GACCUCGUGGCGUAACGGUAGCGCGUCUGACUCCAGAUCAGAAGGCUACGUGUUGAAAUCACGUCGAGGUCA